UGGAGCGUAACGUAAUGGUAGCGUCGCCGGCUCUAACCCGGUAUGUGUGUGGGUUCGAAUCCUACCGUUCCAA
rnacentral:tRNA from 1 species